UAUAAUUAUUUUUCUCAUUUUCCUUUUUCUUAUAUUUUUUAAUGUUUCAAAAUAUUUAUAAUAUAAAAUAAUUUUACUCAAAUAUAGACAUUUAUCUUUUUUGUGUGUGAGUAUGUAAAACUUUAUCUCACCCAACAAAAUGUAGGAUUUUUUCUAGUAAAAAAUAGAUAUAUGAUCAGAACAACUAUUUUAUCUUUUGUUUUAAUUAGAAUGUAGUAAAUUAAAAAUAAUGGUAAAAUUAUUAUGUUUCUUUUGAUACAGGUGGCCGUGGGUAGCUGAUUAAAACAAUUCAUAUGCCAUCUUAAAAGUGUGGAUCUUAAAGAGCUUAGAACGUUGAGCAUCGAUCAACUCAUAAGACUGCUUUACAUGUCACGACCCGGAACUCCCAUUGAGCCCGUGACAACCGUCGCGACGUCCCGAUAGGCACUCAUUACCCCAAAUGCCGAUCGAAACCCCGCAAGGCUUAGCAUCAGCUUCUGCAUCUCCCCAGUGAGCGACAGUUAUUAAAUCUCACAUUUCAAAAAAAUUCAUAAGUCAUUUCCAAAUCAAAACAAUAAAAUAUUACUUUUUGGCUCACAGGGGCAUUUUCGUCAUUUUUCUUCAAAAAUAUCGAAACUCGCCAAAAACAUGGUGUAAAAGCUAAAUAU
rnacentral:lncRNA from 1 species